AAGGCACACUGAAUAUGUUUGACUGUACUUUCUUGAGCUUUAAAUGCUGAAACUUCAUUAGAUCAACACCUUUUUACGUGUGUGUGUGUGUCACACAUUUUCUGUUGAAU